GGGGAUGUAGCUCAGUGGAAGAGUGCAUGCUUUGUAUUUAUGAUAUGCUGGGUUCAAUACCCAGCAUUCUGC